UGAGGGAUAGUUAUAUCACGUCAGACAUA
rnacentral:piRNA from 1 species